rnacentral:rRNA from 1 species
GACGAACGCUGGCGGCGUGCUUAACACAUGCAAGUCGAACGGUGAAGCCCUUCGGGGUGGAUCAGCGGCGAACGGGUGAGUAACACGUGAGCAACCUGCCCCUGGCUCUGGGACAACCACUGGAAACGGUGGCUAAUACCGGAUACGACCCGCCUCGGCAUCGAGUGUGGGUGGAAAGUUUUUCGGCUGGGGAUGGGCUCGCGGCCUAUCAGCUUGUUGGUGAGGUGAAGACUCACCAAGGCGACGACGGGUAGCCGGCCUGAGAGGGCGACCGGCCACACUGGGACUGAGACACGGCCCAGACUCCUACGGGAGGCAGCAGUGGGGAAUAUUGCACAAUGGGCGAAAGCCUGAUGCAGCGACGCCGCGUGAGGGAUGACGGCCUUCGGGUUGUAAACCUCUUUCAGCUCCGAAGAAGCGAAAGUGACGGUAGGAGCAGAAGAAGCACCGGCUAACUACGUG